rnacentral:rRNA from 1 species
CCUACGGGUGGCAGCAGUGAGGAAUAUUGGUCAAUGGACGAGAGUCUGAACCAGCCAAGUAGCGUGAAGGAUGACUGCCCUAUGGGUUGUAAACUUCUUUUAUAUGGGAAUAAAAUGUUCCACGUGUGGGAUUUUGUAUGUACCAUAUGAAUAAGGAUCGGCUAACUCCGUGCCAGCAGCCGCGGUAAUACGGAGGAUCCGAGCGUUAUCCGGAUUUAUUGGGUUUAAAGGGAGCGUAGGUGGAUUGUUAAGGCAGUUGUGAAAGUUUGCGGCUCAACCGUAAAAUUGCAGUUGAAACUGGCAGUCUUGAGUACAGUAGAGGUGGGCGGAAUUCGUGGUGUAGCGGUGAAAUGCUUAGAUAUCACGAAGAACUCCGAUUGCGAAGGCAGUUCACUGGACUGCAACUGACACUGAGGCUCGAUAGUGUGGGUAUCAAACAGGAUUAGAUACCCCAGUAGUC